UACGUAGGGGGCAAGCGUUGUCCGGAAUCAUUGGGCGUAAAGAGCGUGUAGGCGGUUCGGUAAGUCGGCUGUGAAAGUCCAGGGCUCAACCCUGGGAUGCCGGUCGAUACUGCCGGACUAGAGUUCGGAAGAGGCGAGUGCAAUUCCCGGUGUAGCGGUGAAAUGCGCAGAUAUCGGGAGGAACACCUAUGGCGAAGGCAGCUCGCUGGGACGUUACUGACGCUGAGACGCGAAAGCGUGGGGAGCAAACAGG
rnacentral:rRNA from 1 species